rnacentral:rRNA from 1 species
CCUACGGGAGGCUGCAGUGGGGAAUAUUGCACAAUGGGGGAAACCCUGAUGCAGCAACGCCGCGUGAGUGAAGAAGGUUUUCGGAUUGUAAAGCUCUGUUAGCAGGGAAGAGGAAGGACGGUACCUGCAGAGUAAGCCAUGGCUAACUACGUGUCAGCAGGCGCGGUAAUAUGUAGGUGGCAAGCGUUGUUCGGAAUAACUUGGGGUAAAGGAUGCGUAGGUAGUUAAACAAGUUAUAUGUUAAAUAUAUAGGCUUAACCUGCAGAAAGCAUAUAAUACUGGUUAACUAGAGUGCAGGAGAGGUAAGUGGAAUUCCUAGUGAAGCGGUGGAAUGCGUAGAGAUUAGGAAGAACACCAGUGGCGAAGGCGACUUACUGGACUGUAACUGACGCUGAGGCAUGAGAGCAUGGGGAGCAAACAGGAUUAGAUACCCGUGUAGUC